UAGGGAAUAUUGGGCAAUGGACGGAAGUCUGACCCAGCCAUGCCGCGUGCAGGAUGAAGGCCCUCUGGGUUGUAAACUGCUUUUGACAGGGAAGAAAUACACCAUGCGUGGUGGGCUGACGGUACCUGUAGAAUAAGCACCGGCUAACUCCGUGCCAGCAGCCGCGGUAAUACGGAGGGUGCAAGCGUUGUCCGGAUUUAUUGGGUUUAAAGGGUGCGUAGGCGGUUUUGUAAGUCAGUGGUGAAAGCUAGCAGCUUAACUGUUAAACUGCCAUUGAUACUGCAAAGCUUGAGUAUAGAUGAGGUAGGCGGAAUUUAUAGUGUAGCGGUGAAAUGCUUAGAUACUAUAAAGAACUCCGAUAGCGAAGGCAGCUUACUAAACUAUAACUGACGCUGAGGCA
rnacentral:rRNA from 1 species